AGUGGCGGACGGGUGAGUAAUGCUUGGGAACUUGCCCUAACGUGGGGGACAACAGUUGGAAACGACUGCUAAUACCGCAUAAUGUCUUCGGACCAAAGGUGGCCACUAUUUAUAAGCUAUCGCGUUAGGAUGGGCCCAAGUGGGAUUAGCUAGUUGGUAAGGUAAUGGCUUACCAAGGCGACGAUCCCUAGCUGGUCUUAGAGGAUGACCAGCCACACUGGAACUGAGACACGGUCCAGACUCCUACGGGAGGCAGCAGUGGGGAAUAUUGCACAAUGGAGGAAACUCUGAUGCAGCCAUGCCGCGUGUGUGAAGAAGGCUUUCGGGUUGUAAAGCACUUUCAGCGAGGAGGAAAGGGUAGUUGCUUAAUACGUAAUAUCUGUGACGUUACUCGCAGAAGAAGCACCGGCUAACUCCGUGCCAGCAGCCGCGGUAAUACGGAGGAUACGAGCGUUAAUCGGAAUUACUGGGCGUAAAGCGCGCGUAGGCGGUUAAUUAAGUCAGAUGUGAAAGCCCAGGGCUCAACCUUGGAACUGCAUUUGAAACUGGUUAACUAGAGUUUUGUAGAGGGUGGUAGAAUUUCAGGUGUAGCGGUGAAAUGCGUAGAGAUCUGAAGGAAUACCAGUGGCGAAGGCGGCCACCUGGACAAAGACUGACGCUGAGGCGCGAAGGCGUGGGGAGCAAACGGGAUUAGAUACCCCGGUAGUCCACGCAGUAAACGAUGUCUAUUAGAAGUUUGUGGCUAUAUGCCGUGGGUUUCAAAGCUAACGCAUUAAAUAGACCGCCUGGGGAGUACGGCCGCAAGGUUAAAACUCAAAUGAAUUGACGGGGGCCCGCACAAGCGGUGGAGCAUGUGGUUUAAUUCGAUGCAACGCGAAGAACCUUACCAUCCCUUGACAUCCAGAGAAUCUGUUAGAGAUAGUAGAGUGCCUUCGGGAGCUCUGAGACAGGUGCUGCAUGGCUGUCGUCAGCUCGUGUUGUGAAAUGUUGGGUUAAGUCCCGCAACGAGCGCAACCCUUAUCCUUAUUUGCCAGCACGUAAUGGUGGGAACUCUAGGGAGACUGCCGGUGAUAAACCGGAGGAAGGUGGGGACGACGUCAAGUCAUCAUGGCCCUUACGGGAUGGGCUACACACGUGCUACAAUGGCAAAUACAAAGGGCAGCUAACCUGCGAAGGUAUGCGAAUCUCAUAAAGUUUGUCGUAGUCCGGAUCGGAGUCUGCAACUCGACUCCGUGAAGUUGGAAUCGCUAGUAAUCGUGGAUCAGAAUGCCACGGU
rnacentral:rRNA from 1 species